UACAGAGGCCCCAAGCGCUACUGAGAAUCACUGGGUUUAAAGGGUGCGUAGGUGGCGCGUUAAGUCCGUUGUGAAAUCCCUUGGCUCAACCAAGGAACUGCUUCGGAUACUGGCGUGCUUGAGGCUAGUAGAGGUCACUGGAACUGACGGUGGAGCGGUGAAAUGCGUAGAUAUCGCUUGGAACGCCAAAGGUGAAAACAGGUUGCUGGGGAUGUGCUGACACUGAGACGCGAAAGCCAGGGGAGCGAACGGG
rnacentral:rRNA from 1 species